rnacentral:rRNA from 1 species
GAUGAACGCUGGCGGCGUGCCUAAUACAUGCAAGUCGAGCGAACGGACGAGAAGCUUGCUUCUCUGAUGUUAGCGGCGGACGGGUGAGUAACACGUGGAUAACCUUCCUAUAAGACUGGGAUAACUUCGGGAAACCGGAGCUAAUACCGGCUAAUAUUUUGAACCGCAUGGUUCAAAAGUGAAAGACGGUUUUGCUGUCACUUCUAGAUGGAUCCGCGCUGCAUUAGCUAGUUGGUAAGGUAACGGCUUACCAAGGCAACGAGGCAUAGCCGACCUGAGAGGGUGAUCGGCCACACUGGAACUGAGACACGGUCCAGACUCCUACGGGAGGCAGCAGUAGGGAAUCUUCCGCGAUGGGCGAAAGCCUGACGGAGCAACGCCGCGUGAGUGAUGAAGGUCUUCGGAUCGUAAAACUCUGUUAUUAGGGAAGAACAUAUGUGUAAGUAACUGUGCACAUCUUGACGGUACCUAAUCAGAAAGCCGCGGCUAACUACGUG